UUGGAGGGCAAGUCUGGUGCCUGCAGCCGCGGUAAUUCCAGCUCCAAUAGCGUAUAUUAAAGUUGUUGCAGUUAAAAAGCUCGUAGUUGAAUUUCGGGAUUGACGUGAUGGUCAUGCCUUAAGGGGUAUGAACUGUUACUGUUGAUUUCUCACCUUCUGGAGAAACUUGAUGUCUUUUAUUGGGUGUCUUGCGGAUCCAGGAUCUUUACCUUGAAAAAAUUAGAGUGUUUAAAGCAGGCAUUUUUGCUCGAAUACAUUAGCGUGGAAUAAUAGAAUAGGACGGCAUGGUUCUAUUUUGUUGGUUUCUAGGAUCACCGUAAUGAUUAAUAGGGAUAGUUGGGGGCAUUAGUAUUCAAUUGUCAGAGGUGAAAUUCUUGGAUUUAUUGAAGACUAACUACUGCGAAAGCAUUUGCCAAGGAUGUUUUCAUUAAUCAAGAACGAAAGUUAGGGGAUCGAAGACGAUCAGAUACCGUCGUAGUCUUAACCAUAAACUAUGCCGACUAGGAAUCAGACGAUGUUAAUUUUUUAAUGACUCGUUUGGCACCUUACGGGAAACCAAAGUGUUUGGGUUC
rnacentral:rRNA from 1 species